rnacentral:rRNA from 1 species
AGAGUUUGAUCAUGGCUCGAGGACGAACGCUGGCGGCGUGCUUAACACAUGCAAGUCGAACGGGGAUACGUUUGAUGAGAGCUUCGGCAGGAAUCGGAUGUAUUCUAGUGGCGGACGGGUGAGUAACGCGUGAGCAACCUGUCCCAGACAGGGGGAUAACACUUGGAAACAGGUGCUAAUACCGCAUAAGACCACAGCAUCACAUGGUGCGAGGGGUAAAGGUGGAAACCGGUUUGGGGUGGGCUCGCGUCCGAUUAGAUAGUUGGUGAGGUAACGGCCCACCAAGUCGACGAUCGGUAGCCGACCUGAGAGGGUGAUCGGCCACAUUGGAACUGAGAGACGGUCCAAACUCC